rnacentral:tRNA from 1 species
GCUGUAGCUCAGUGGUAGAGCAUCUGCUCUGCAUGCAGAAGGUCACAGAUUCAGUUCCUGGCAUCUCCA